CCUGACUUAUUUUAUAAAAUUAAAUAAGUAUCUGACAUUCAGCAUACGGUGACUGUUAAAGUGUUGCGCUAAGAAUCGUGUUCAAUUUGUUUCUGGUGUAAUUAACCGAUUCUCAUAUAUUUAAACGCAGAAACUUAUCACAUCACGUAAUAAGUUACAGGAAAUAAUGGCAGCGAAUAAAAAGUACUCCAAGGACGACGUGACGAAGGCUAUGCUAGCCGUGCGCGCAGGGUCCUCAGUUAGAGCAGCAGCAGCUCAGUUCAACGUUCCGAAGAGCACCUUGAAUGACAAGAAGAAGAAUAAGUACUCGAACCCGUGCGCUGGAAAACCUGCCGUCUUGUCGGUUGAAGAAGAGGGAGAGAUCGAGAAGUGGGUGUUGGAGAUGGCAGCGCUGGACACCCCGUUAACGAAGAAAUUCUUCGAAUCAGUGUUGGGCAGUUUGUGAAACGGCUGGCUACCAGCGAUUCGUGGGAAGAAUAUUAUCGAGCGCAGGAUGAAGUGAAACGCAUGGCAGAGUUAACGAAACGUCGGAAAUUAGAAGAAAGGCGAAAAAAAAAGCAUGAGAAGAAGAGAAGGCUGCUAGAUUGAUGAUUUCAAAACAAAAAGCGGAACUGAGAAAGAAAGAAAAGGAACGUAAAAUGGUUGAAAGAAAGGAAAAAAUGCUCAAAAAACAAGAGCAAAAGCAAAAACCACCAAAGAAAUCGCCAUCAUUAUAAAAAAUUUGUAAACAUCUCCAUGCUUUAAAUCGAAUAUAUAAUUGAACUCGA